CGGAGGGUGCAAGCGUUAUCCGGAUUCACUGGGUUUAAAGGGUGCGUAGGAGGGCAGGUAAGUCAGUGGUGAAAUCUCCAAGCUUAACUUGGAACCUGCCGUUGAUACUAUCUGUCUUGAAUAUUGUGGAGGUGAGCGGAAUAUGUCAUGUAGCGGUGAAAUGCUUAGAUAUGACAUAGAACACCAAUUGCGAAGGCAGCUCGCUACUCAAUUAUUGACUCUGAGGCACGAAAGCGUGGGGAUCAAACAGGAUUAGAUACCCUGGUAGUCCACGCCCUAAACUAUGGAUACUCGACAUACGCGAUAUACAGUGUGUGUCUGAGCGAAAGCAUUAAGUAUCCCACCUGGGAAGUACGACCGCAAGGUUG
rnacentral:rRNA from 1 species